rnacentral:rRNA from 1 species
AGAGUUUGAUCCUGGCUCAGAUUGAACGCUGGCGGCAUGCCUUACACAUGCAAGUCGAACGGCAGUACGGGGCAACCUGGUGGCGAGUGGCGAACGGGUGAGUAAUGCAUCGGAACGUGCCAUUGAGUGGGGGAUAACGUAGCGAAAGUUGCGCUAAUACCGCAUAUUCUGUGAGCAGGAAAGCAGGGGACCGCAAGGCCUUGCGCUCUUUGAGCGGCCGAUGUCAGAUUAGCUAGUUGGUGAGGUAACGGCUUACCAAGGCGACGAUCUGUAGCGGGUCUGAGAGGAUGAUCCGCCACACUGGAACUGAGACACGGUCCAGACUCCUACGGGAGGCAGCAGUGGGGAAUUUUGGACAAUGGGGGCAACCCUGAUCCAGCCAUGCCGCGUGAGUGAAGAAGGCCUUCGGGUUGUAAAGCUCUUUCGGCCGGGAAGAAAUCGCAUGGGCCAAUACCCUGUGUGGAUGACGGUACCGGAAUAAGAAGCACCGGCUAACUACGUGCCAGCAGCCGCGGUAAUACGUAGGGUGCGAGCGUUAAUCGGAAUUACUGGGCGUAAAGCGUGCGCAGGCGGUUUUGUAAGACAGGCGUGAAAUCCCCGGGCUCAACCUGGGAACUGCGUUUGUGACUGCAAGGCUAGAGUACGGCAGAGGGGGGUGGAAUUCCACGUGUAGCAGUGAAAUGCGUAGAGAUGUGGAGGAACACCAAUGGCGAAGGCAGCCCCCUGGGUCGAUACUGACGCUCAUGCACGAAAGCGUGGGUAGCAAACAGGAUUAGAUACCCUGGUAGUCCACGCCCUAAACUAUGUCAACUAGGUGUUGGGUGGGUAAAACCAUUUAGUACCGUAGCUAACGCGUGAAGUUGACCGCCUGGGGAGUACGGCCGCAAGGUUAAAACUCAAAGGAAUUGACGGGGACCCGCACAAGCGGUGGAUGAUGUGGAUUAAUUCGAUGCAACGCGAAAAACCUUACCUACCCUUGACAUGCCAGGAACUUGCCAGAGAUGGCUUGGUGCCCGAAAGGGAGCCUGGACACAGGUGCUGCAUGGCUGUCGUCAGCUCGUGUCGUGAGAUGUUGGGUUAAGUCCCGCAACGAGCGCAACCCUUGUCGUUAAUUGCCAUCAUUUAGUUGGGCACUUUAGCGAGACUGCCGGUGACAAACCGGAGGAAGGUGGGGAUGACGUCAAGUCCUCAUGGCCCUUAUGGGUAGGGCUUCACACGUCAUACAAUGGUCGGUACAGAGGGUCGCCAAGCCGCGAGGUGGAGCCAAUCCCAGAAAGCCGAUCGUAGUCCGGAUUGCAGGCUGCAACUCGCCUGCAUGAAGUCGGAAUCGCUAGUAAUCGU